rnacentral:tmRNA from 1 species
GGGGAUGCCAAGGUCUCGACAUGACUAUUGGAAUUUCAAAUGCAGUAGGGUUUGCCCUUUAUAGCUCGAGGUCUCGCCAACAUGACGAAACUAAAUCUGACACUGCAAGUGUAGAGUCUUCAUUCUAUACUGGUAGCUUGCCAACUCAAACUGCCCUUUACGCUUAGUCGUAAGGCUCGUAGUCGAGUAUAAGGUAUAAAUUGUUUUCUCAAUUUACAACUAUACCUCUAAUAAAUUGAUAUAUUCUAUAACUCCAAUGCAUAGAAAAGAAAAACAUUUUGGAUAUGUCGCUUUUAGUUGUGCUAUUACUAUAAAAAGCGUUGAAGAACGAAAUAGCACUAAACUGUAGUAUUUGUUAGGAAGAUAAUUGUGGAAAUGGGUUCAAUUCCCAUCAUCUCCGCCA